GGGGGGGCUUAAACUGCAAGUCGAGCGGGGAAAGGUAGCUUGCUACCUUUCCUAGCGGCGGACGGGUGAGUAAUGCUUAGGAAUCUGCCUAUUAGUGGGGGACAACAUUCCGAAAGGAAUGCUAAUACCGCAUACGCCCUACGGGGGAAAGCAGGGGAUCUUCGGACCUUGCGCUAAUAGAUGAGCCUAAGUCAGAUUAGCUAGUUGGUGGGGUAAAGGCCUACCAAGGCGACGAUCUGUAGCGGGUCUGAGAGGAUGAUCCGCCACACUGGGACUGAGACACGGCCCAGACUCCUACGGGAGGCAGCAGUGGGGAAUAUUGGACAAUGGGCGAAAGCCUGAUCCAGCCAUGCCGCGUGUGUGAAGAAGGCCUUUUGGUUGUAAAGCACUUUAAGCGAGGAGGAGGCUACCGAGAUUAAUACUCUUGGAUAGUGGACGUUACUCGCAGAAUAAGCACCGGCUAACUCUGUGCCAGCAGCCGCGGUAAUACAGAGGGUGCGAGCGUUAAUCGGAUUUACUGGGCGUAAAGCGUGCGUAGGCGGCUUUUUAAGUCGGAUGUGAAAUCCCUGAGCUUAACUUAGGAAUUGCAUUCGAUACUGGGAAGCUAGAGUAUGGGAGAGGAUGGUAGAAUUCCAGG
rnacentral:rRNA from 1 species